rnacentral:rRNA from 1 species
UACGAGCGGCCCAAACGUUAUUCGGAUUUACUGGGCUUAAAGAGUUCGUAGGCGGCGCAGAAAGUAGGGUGUGAAAGCCCUCGGCUCAACCGAGGAAUUGCGCUCUAAACUACUGCGCUCGAGGAACCUAGAGGUGAGCAGAACUGAUGGUGGAGCGGUGAAAUGCGUUGAUAUCAUCAGGAAUACCGGAGGCGAAGGCGGCUCACUGGGGGUUUUCUGACGCUGAGGAACGAAAGCCAGGGGAGCGAACGGG